UUAAUUGCUUGCUCAUUAGAUACCAGAAAGGGUGUUGGCUC
rnacentral:rRNA from 14 species